GCCGACGUAGCUCAACGGUAGAGCACAGCUUUCGUAAAGCUGAGGUUGUGGGUUCGAUCCCCACCGUCGGCU
rnacentral:tRNA from 2 species